UUGAACAUACUUCCCCGAGGAUCAAGAAUCAACAGCAAGGAGUUCAAAGAGAUCCUUGAAAGGAAGCAGCAACAUGUUCUUCUAGAUGUUCGACCUGCUCAUCACUAUAAGAUAGUCUCUCUCCCUGAUUCACUCAACAUCCCUCUCGCAAACUUAGAGGCUCGGUUAGAUGAGCUUACUUCAGCUCUGAAAGAAAAACAAGAGGGACAUGCUAGCACAGGAUCUUGCACAAAUCCGUGCAUCUACGUCGUGUGCAGGCGCGGGAAUGAUUCACAGAGAGCUGUUGAGUAUCUUCGUGACUCGGGUUUCGAUACAGCUAAAGAUAUAAUUGGAGGACUGGAAGCUUGGGCGGCAGAUGUCAACCCCAACUUCCCUACUUACUAGAAACAUGUAUGAUGUAUCACACUAGUUUUGUCAUGUAAACCCUGUCUGAACUACAUUGUCUCUUUCUUACUUUCUUAUAAAACCUAUGUUGAGAUACAUUGGUAGUUUGAUUCGACAUAUGAAACAAAGAGUAGUGAAUGAUUCAAUCUUCAUACAUCAUACUAAACACGUUCAAUUGGCCAAGAAGGAUAUAAUGUAAGAUCUUUAUUUUGAUGAAACAGUGAAAACUCAAAAACUGUGAGAAUCAAUCAUAAGAAGCAAGGCAGAGAAUAACACAAGAGUUGGAUUACAAAGUUUUACUUGUUCUGGUUCUGUAUGUUGUUCUCAUGGGUGGUAGCUUCUUCCUCUUGCUCGUUAAACCUGCGCUUGAACUUGGCAAUCUGACCGAUGCUUUGAGCCAACUGACGCUUAGCACCAAAGUGAUAGACUUUGCCAACGUGGUGGAUUCUAGUCAUCAUGACGUGCAUCAAUCUACCGCUCUGUGUCACAUAAGAGAUCCACUGCAACUGUGGGUGUAUUCCUUUCUUCAUUCUCCCAACAACUCUACAAAACAAAAGGCAUUCAUUUUGUUUAGAUGAGAUUGGAGUAGGUACGUGAAUGGUUUCUUAACGCAAGGCAUGUCUCCACAAUCUUCUUCGUUCUUGAAAUGAAAUUUUGCCUUUCUUGUUUGUAGUUCCGGGUGUUAUUGGUUGUCUACAAGCGCUAGAGACGAUUAAACUCGCGAGCUUGGUGGGAGAACCACUCUCUGAACGGAUGCUUCUUUUUGACGCUUUAUCAGCGAGAAUCCGUAUUGUAAAGUCUCAUCGUCUUCUUCAUUAAACUCACUCUACUACGGUACUAGAACCUAAUCAGGUGUAGUGUUUGCACAGGUCAAGAUCAGAGGCAGGUCAGCCCAGUGCACAGUGUGUGGAGACCAUUCAUCUUUCAAUAAGCAAAAGUUCAGAGAUUUUGACUAUGAGGACUUCACUCAGUUUCCUUUAUCUGCGGUAUUGUUCUUUCCUCUCUCACGGAUUACUUUGUUUUCAACAACAGUUUCAUUAUAUUUAUCUUCACACAGGGACCGUUGAACAUACUUCCCCGAGGAUCAAGAAUCAACAGCAAGGAGUUCAAAGAGAUCCUUGAAAGGAAGCAGCAACAUGUUCUUCUAGAUGUUCGACCUGCUCAUCACUAUAAGAUAGUCUCUCUCCCUGAUUCACUCAACAUCCCUCUCGCAAACUUAGAGGCUCGGUUAGAUGAGCUUACUUCAGCUCUGAAAGAAAAACAAGAGGGACAUGCUAGCACAGGAUCUUGCACAAAUCCGUGCAUCU
rnacentral:lncRNA from 1 species